rnacentral:rRNA from 1 species
AGUGAACGCUGGCGGCAGGCCUAACACAUGCAAGUCGAGCGGCAGCGGGUCCUUCGGGAUGCCGGCGAGCGGCGGACGGGUGAGGAAUACAUCGGAAUCUGCCCUGUCGUGGGGGAUAACCUAGGGAAACUUAGGCUAAUACCGCAUACGACCUACGGGUGAAAGCGGGGGAUCGCAAGACCUCGCGCGACAGGAUGAGCCGAUGUCCGAUUAGCUAGUUGGCGGGGUAAAGGCCCACCAAGGCGACGAUCGGUAGCUGGUCUGAGAGGAUGAUCAGCCACACUGGGACUGAGACACGGCCCAGACUCCUACGGGAGGCAGCAGAGGGGAAUAUUGGACAAUGGGCGCAAGCCUGAUCCAGCCAUGCCGCGUGGGUGAAGAAGGCCUUCGGGUUGUAAAGCCCUUUUGUCCGGGAAGAAAUCGUCUGGGCUAAUACCCCGGGCGGAUGACGGUACCGGAAGAAUAAGCACCGGCUAACUUCGUG